UCUUGAAAUUCCUCCUGGCUUUGAAAAUUUUCAACCAUCUGAAAAUGUUUAUAAUGAAGAAGUAAAAGAGCUCAAAGCUGAAGAGAAAAGCCCAAAUAAUGAAGAAUGGACUACUAUUACAGCAAAAAAUAAGCCAAAAAGGCAAAUUAAUGAAAUUUCAAACGAAAAGCAUAAUGAAAAGAA
rnacentral:rRNA from 1 species